ACGACUGCGAGGUCUUUGGGCCACCUCCCAUCCGUGUCUAUUGUACCCUGUUGCUUCGGCGGGCCCGCCGCUUGUCGGCCGCCGGGGGGGCGCCUCUGCCCCCCGGGCCCGUGCCCGCCGGAGACCCCAACACGAACACUGUCUGAAAGCGUGCAGUCUGAGUUGAUUGAAUGCAAUCAGUUAAAACUUUCAACAAUGGAUCUCUUGGUUCCGGCAUCGAUGAAGAACGCAGCGAAAUGCGAUAACUAAUGUGAAUUGCAGAAUUCAGUGAAUCAUCGAGUCUUUGAACGCACAUUGCGCCCCCUGGUAUUCCGGGGGGCAUGCCUGUCCGAGCGUCAUUGCUGCCCUCAAGCCCGGCUUGUGUGUUGGGUCGCCGUCCCCCUCUCCGGGGGGACGGGCCCGAAAGGCAGCGGCGGCACCGCGUCCGAUCCUCGAGCGUAUGGGGCUUUGUCACAUGCUCUGUAGGAUUGGCCGGCGCCUGCCGACGUUUUCCAACCAUUCUUUCCAGGUUGACCUCGGAUCAGGUAGGGAUACCCGCUGAACUUAAGCAUAUCA
rnacentral:rRNA from 1 species